GCAGCUUUAAACCAGGGAGAACAGAAAAAAGCAUGCCUAGGAGUUCAGCUGUCACAUGACAAACUCUGUUGGCUGCAACAUGUACCAAACACACCCCUAAUGCACUGGGAGGGCUAUUUAAACUGUUGCUGCCCUGCUCACCCUUUUGCCCAGCCUAUCUACCACCCUACCACACUGUCCAUUUACUAACCCAGUCAAGCUAACGGCUAACUUAGUUCUUUGCUGGAAACACUCCAUGCUAAAGGAGUUAAUGUUGCAUUUAGCCAGCUAGCAUGUUACUUCAGGACUUCUUUGAGAGGGAAAAUGUGUGCAGGCUAAUCAUCAUAGAAGAGUUUCCUGUGCUGUUGUUGGCUGUUUGGACCCCAAAAUGUUUGAUGCCGGAGACCACUCCUUCAUUUCAGCACGAGAAACAGGCGCACGGCGGCAUCAUCAGCAUCCCGCGUGACGUCCACGAGAAGGUGAAGAUGAACCGGCCUUUUUCUGAUCAAAGCAGCCGUCUAUAAAGCUCAAGGCUGGCCUUCCUAGGCGGCGGAGAGCCACCGGCGUCUGCAGAGUUUAUUUGGUCUGUGUCUACACGAUAAAGAGGAAAGUUAGGUGAAGGACAACAAUCUGGUCGAGGAGACCGAUCAGGAGGAAUAAUGAUAAUAAGGCUAAUAAGGCACAGUUUCAUCCUGCAAACCCCCCUCAAAGGAUUAUUUAUGAUGAAAGAUAAUGGCUAAGCAUGGAAAACCUCUCUGAAGCAAACUGAAACACAUUAAAACAUUAUACAAAGCAGGCAGGAGCUACCGAGAUUACAGAUGAUAUGAUAAAAUAAUUCCCAAAAGCACUUCUGAAAAAUGCCAGUUUCAAUUCUUGAAAUAAUAUUUCUUUCCAAACAGCGAUUCAGUUCAGACAUCAGCAGUAAACUCAUGAGGAAUAAGUCAAGACAGACAGACUCUCUCUAACAUUCGGGUCCCUGUAGAUGUCUACUGGUUUGACUUUUCAUUAUAACUUGCGCGGGGUCACGAUCGACCAAAGCAAGACCGUUGCUCAUUAGACACUAUAAUCUUAUCAGCUCCUCUUCCUUCAAAAACAUAUCCAUCACAAACUGUUAUCCGUGAAAACAGAUGAUGUUGCUGUUAGAUCUCUUUGACCUCAAAGUAUUUCUUCCAACAAAAACAACAGGUGUAAGAUGAAAAGUGUGACGACGGAGAAAGUGGUGGUGAUUUUUUUUUUUACUUAAGUGUACAAGACCGACUCGAUUGAAGUGUUACCUUUUAA